rnacentral:rRNA from 2 species
AUACAACUUUCAGCAAUGGAUCUCUUGGCUCUCGCAUCGAUGAAGAACGCAGCGAAAUGCGAUAAGUAAUGUGAAUUGCAGAAUUCAGUGAAUCAUCGAAUCUUUGAACGCACCUUGCGCUCCUUGGUAUUCCGAGGAGCAUGCCUGUUUGAGUGUCAUUAAAUUCUCAAC